rnacentral:rRNA from 1 species
CCUACGGGAGGCAGCAGUGGGGAAUUUUCCGCAAUGGGCGAAAGCCUGACGGAGCAAUACCGCGUGAGGGAAGACUGCCUAUGGGUUGUAAACCUCUUUUUUCAGGGAGGAAUAAAAUGACGUGUACCUGAAGAAUAAGCAUCGGCUAACUCCGUGCCAGCAGCCGCGGUAAGACGGAGGAUGCAAGUGUUAUCCGGAAUCACUGGGCGUAAAGCGUCUGUAGGUGGUUUAAUAAGUCAACUGUUAAAUCUUGAGGCUCAACUUCAAAACCGCAGUCGAAACUAUUAGACUAGAGUAUAGUAGAGGUAAAGGGAAUUUCCAGUGGAGCGGUGAAAUGCGUAGAUAUUGGAAAGAACACCGAUGGCGAAAGCACUUUACUGGGCUAUUACUAACACUCAGAGACGAAAGCUAGGGUAACAAAUGGGAUUAGAUACCCCAGUAGUCCUAGCCGUAAACUAUGGAUACUAGAUGUUGAACAGAUCGACCUGUGCAGUAUCAAAGCUAACGCGUUAAGUAUCCCGCCUGGGAAGUAUGCUCGCAAGAGUAGAACUANAAAGGAAUUGACGGCNGAGACGUGCGACGACGACGACGAGGAGUAGG